AAUAUUGGACAAUGGUCGCAAGACUGAUCCAGCCAUGCCGCGUGCAGGAUGAAUGCCCUAUGGGUUGUAAACUGCUUUUAUACGGGAAUAAACCCCUCUACGUGUAGAGGGCUGAAUGUACUGUAAGACUAAGGGUCGGCUAACUUCGUGCCAGCAGCCGCGGUAAGACGAAGGACCCAAGCGUUAUCCGGAUUCAUUGGGUUUAAAGGGUGCGUAGGCGGGUUGAUAAGUCAGUGGUGAAAGCCCAACGCUUAACGUUGGAACUGCCAUUGAUACUGUCGAUCUUGAAUGUGUUUGAUGUGGGCGGAAUAUGACAUGUAGCGGUGAAAUGCUUAGAUAUGUCAUAGAACACCGAUUGCGAAGGCAGCUCACAAAGCCACUAUUGACGCUGAGGCACGAAAGCGUGGGGAUCAAACAGG
rnacentral:rRNA from 1 species